rnacentral:misc_RNA from 1 species
GAUGAAGAACGCAGCGAAAUGCGAUAAGUAGUGUGAAUUGCAGAAUUCAGUGAAUCAUCGAAUCUUUGAACGCACAUUGCGCCCCUUGGUAUCCCGAGGGGCAUGCCUGUUCGAGCGUCAUUUCACCACUCAAGCCUGGCUUGGUGUUGGGCGACGUCCCCUUUGGGGACGUGCCUCGAAACGCUCGGCGGCGUGGCACCGGCUUUAAGCGUAGCAGAAUCUUUCGCUUUGGAAGUCGGGGCCCCGUCUGCCGGAAGACCUACUCGCAAGGUUGACCUCGGAUCAGGCAGGGAUACCCGCUGAACUUAAGCAUAUCAAUAAGCGGAGGA